GUGGGACUAACUUAGACAGCACAUCUUCUAAAAUCCAAACUAUACAGAGAAAAUCAGCAUAGCUGUGUUCAAGAAUGACACACAAAUUCUUGAAACAUUCCAUGAUUUU